rnacentral:misc_RNA from 1 species
GAUGAAGAACGUAGUGAAAUGCGAUAAGUAAUGCGAAUUGCAGAAUUCCAGUGAGUCAUCGAAUCUUUGAACGCACAUUGCGCCCUUUGGUAUUCCGAAGGGCAUGCCUGUUCGAGCGUCAUUAUCACCCCUCAAGCCCUCGGCUUGGUGUUGGACGGUUUGGUGGAGGCCCCCUCGGGGGUUCCUGCCCCUCCCAAAGACAAUGACGGCGGCCUCGUUGGACCCCCGGUACACUGAGUUCUUCACGGGACACGUAUCGGACACAUGGGUUUACGGGACACGGUCUGCCUCCCCUCAGGGAGAAUCUUUCUAAGGUUGACCUCGGAUCAGGUAGGGAUACCCGCUGAACUUAAGCAUAUCAUAAGCGGAGGA